rnacentral:rRNA from 1 species
UACGGGGGGGGCAAGCGUUGUUCGGAAUUACUGGGCGUAAAGGGCUCGUAGGUGGCCAACUAAGUCAGACGUGAAAUCCCUCAGCUUAACUGGGGAACUGCGUCUGAUACUGGAUGGCUUGAGUUUGGGAGAGGGAUGCGGAAUUCCAGGUGUAGCGGUGAAAUGCGUAGAUAUCUGGAGGAACACCGGUGGCGAAGGCGGCAUCCUGGACCAACGCUGACACUGAGGAGCGAAAGCCAGGGGAGCAAACGGG